GCAGUCGAACGAUGAUCCGGUGCUUGCACCGGGGAUUAGUGGCGAACGGGUGAGUAACACGUGAGUAACCUGCCCUUGACUCUGGGAUAAGCCUGGGAAACUGGGUCUAAUACCGGAUAUGACUCCUCAUCGCAUGGUGGGGGGUGGAAAGCUUUUGUGGUUUUGGAUGGACUCGCGGCCUAUCAGCUUGUUGGUGAGGUAAUGGCUCACCAAGGCGACGACGGGUAGCCGGCCUGAGAGGGUGACCGGCCACACUGGGACUGAGACACGGCCCAGACUCCUACGGGAGGCAGCAGUGGGGAAUAUUGCACAAUGGGCGCAAGCCUGAUGCAGCGACGCCGCGUGAGGGAUGACGGCCUUCGGGUUGUAAACCUCUUUCAGUAGGGAAGAAGCGAAAGUGACGGUACCUGCAGAAGAAGCGCCGGCUAACUACGUGCCAGCAGCCGCGGUAAUACGUAGGGCGCAAGCGUUAUCCGGAAUUAUUGGGCGUAAAGAGCUCGUAGGCGGUUUGUCGCGUCUGCCGUGAAAGUCCGGGGCUCAACUCCGGAUCUGCGGUGGGUACGGGCAGACUAGAGUGAUGUAGGGGAGACUGGAAUUCCUGGUGUAGCGGUGAAAUGCGCAGAUAUCAGGAGGAACACCGAUGGCGAAGGCAGGUCUCUGGGCAUUAACUGACGCUGAGGAGCGAAAGCAUGGGGAGCGAACAGGAUUAAAUACCCUGGU
rnacentral:rRNA from 1 species